rnacentral:rRNA from 1 species
UACGGGAGGCAGCAGUGGGGAAUAUUGGACAAUGGGCGAAAGCCUGAUCCAGCCAUGCCGCGUGUGUGAAGAAGGUCUUCGGAUUGUAAAGCACUUUAAGUUGGGAGGAAGGGCAGUUAAGCCUAAUACCGUUGUUGUCUUGACGUUACCGACAGAAUAAGCACCGGCUAACUCUGUGCCAGCAGCCGCGGU